ACUCCUACGGGAGGCAGCAGUGGGGAAUAUUGCACAAUGGGCGCAAGCCUGAUGCAGCCAUGCCGCGUGUGUGAAGAAGGCCUUCGGGUUGUAAAGCACUUUCAGUGGGGAGGAAAGGUUGAUGGUUAAUACCCAUCAGACUGUGACGUUACCCACAGAAGAAGCACCGGCUAACUCCGUGCCAGCAGCCGCGGUAAUACGGAGGGUGCAAGCGUUAAUCGGAAUUACUGGGCGUAAAGCGUGCGCAGGCGGUCUGUUAAGCGAGAUGUGAAAGCCCCGGCUCAACCUGGGAACUGGCAUUUCGAACU
rnacentral:rRNA from 1 species